GCAUUGGAUCGAUAGCAUGCGAGUCGCGAGAAUUAGAUUCUCGGCGUACCGCCCAGUAACACGUGGGUAACCUGCCCUAUGCUGGAUAAUAACCUCGGGAAACUGAGAAUAAUGAUCCAUAGUUCACUACGCCUGGAACGGUGAGUGGAUGAAAGCUCCGGCGGCAUAGGAUGGGCCUGCGGCGUAUCAGGUUGUAGGGGGUGUAACGUACCCUCUAGCCCUCUACGCGUACGGGUGUUGGGAGACAUAGCCCGGAGAUGGAUUCUGAGACACGAAUCCAGACCCUACGGGGUGCAGCAGCGCGAAAACUUGGCAUGCGAGAAAUCGUGACCAGGGAACUUCCAAGUGCAUCGGGUAAGACCGGUGCUUUUUCUUUGACUCCUAAAUUAGGUCUUGAAAUAAGGGUGGGGUAAGGACGGUUGCCAGCCGCCCCCGGUAAAUACCGGCCGCCUCAAAGGGUAAGUCGCUUUAUUUGGGGCCUAAAAAGGUCCGUAGCCGGUUCGAAACCUUCGUGGGUAAAUCCACCAAGUUACAUUGUUGAAUUUGGCAGGGACGGUCAACUGGACCGGAAAGGUUGGGUACCUCAGGUAGGUAAUCUGGCCCUGACGGACACUGUUGCAAGGC
rnacentral:rRNA from 1 species